CAGUAGCCGCGGGAAUACGAAGGGGGCUAGCGUUGUUCGGAUUUACUGGGCGUAAAGCGCACGUAGGCGGACUUUUAAGUCAGGGGUGAAAUCCCGGGGCUCAACCCCGGAACUGCCUUUGAUACUGGAAGUCUUGAGUAUGGUAGAGGUGAGUGGAAUUCCGAGUGUAGAGGUGAAAUUCGUAGAUAUUCGGAGGAACACCAGUGGCGAAGGCGGCUCACUGGACCAUUACUGACGCUGAGGUGCGAAAGCGUGGGGAGCAAACAGGAUUAGAUACCCCUGUAGUCCCUGUCUCUUAUAU
rnacentral:rRNA from 1 species